ACGGCGAGUGAGCGGCAAAGCUCAAAUUUGAAAUCUGGUACCUUCGGUGCCCGAGUUGUAAUUUGGAGAGGGCAACUUUGGGGCCGUUCCUUGUCUAUGUUCCUUGGAACAGGACGUCAUAGAGGGUGAGAAUCCCGUGUGGCGAGGAGUGCGGUUCUUUGUAGAGUGCCUUCGAAGAGUCGAGUUGUUUGGGAAUGCAGCUCUAAGUGGGUGGUAAAUUCCAUCUAAAGCUAAAUAUUGGCGAGAGACCGAUAGCGAACAAGUACAGUGAUGGAAAGAUGAAAAGAACUUUGAAAAGAGAGUGAAAAAGUACGUGAAAUUGUUGAAAGGGAAGGGCAUUUGAUCAGACAUGGUGUUUUGUGCCCUCUGCUCCUUGUGGGUAGGGGAAUCUCGCAUUUCACUGGGCCAGCAUCAGUUUUGGUGGCAGGAUAAAUCCAUAGGAAUGUAGCUUGCCUCGGUAAGUAUUAUAGCCUGUGGGAAUACUGCCAGCUGGGACUGAGGACUGCGACGUAAGUCAAGGAUGCUGGCAUAAUGGUUAUAUGCCGCCCGUCUUGAACCAACGGGA
rnacentral:rRNA from 1 species